CGCGGGGGCGGGGCCUCUCGAGGCACGUGACGCGCCUUGGCGGCGUCAGUGGGAGUAGGGUCAGGGGCCGGGCUUUGUGCCCGAGGGCUGAGCACUCGGGAGGACCGGGGGCGCGUCGGGGUCAGCGGCUGAGGGUUUGGGCAGGGGCCCUGUGAGCGCUCGCUGGCGGCCCGCGCCGGCUGCGGGGCGUCGGGCGAAGGCAGGCGCGCGCGUCCGUUCUUUAUUCCACCGCUGUUAGGUGGGUUUAGGCGCCGGACAGAAAGCUGCGAGCCUCACAGCCGGUCGCUGUCCCUGCGCUCAGGGCUUCCGUUGAGGCGACAGAGUACGAGUAAAUCACGGAAUGCCCAGGGUCGAGAGGGAAAGCGGCGGCAUGCCCCAACAGAAUCACGGGGUGGUGCCUCUCGUUGGGGAGGUUGGCAAAGGCCUCUCAAAGGAGCACAUCUCAAUGUGGACCAACUACAGUUCAAGGGCUCAGUGGCCAGCUGUGGCUUGUGGAUGCCGUACUGGACAGAACAGAUCUUAAAACGUUUAUUCUUUUACUCAUUCGACCAAGCAAGGUCUUGUUGUAGGCAUGGAAAUACACGAAAUGGAAUAAAGCCCAAUCUCUGUUCUCAGAGUGUACACAGUC